AGAGUUUGAUCAUGGCUCAGGACGAACGCUGGCGGCGUGCCUAAUACAUGCAAGUCGAGCGCAGGAAGUUAUCUGAUCCUCUUUUAGAGGUGACGAUAAUGGAAUGAGCGGCGGACGGGUGAGUAACACGUAGGCAACCUGCCUGUAAGACUGGGAUAACUCGUGGAAACGCGAGCUAAUACCGGAUAACACUUUUCAUCUCCUGAUGAGAAGUUGAAAGGCGGCUUUUGCUGUCACUUACAGAUGGGCCUGCGGCGCAUUAGCUAGUUGGUAAGGUAAUGGCUUACCAAGGCGACGAUGCGUAGCCGACCUGAGAGGGUGAUCGGCCACACUGGGACUGAGACACGGCCCAGACUCCUACGGGAGGCAGCAGUAGGGAAUCUUCCGCAAUGGACGAAAGUCUGACGGAGCAACGCCGCGUGAGUGAUGAAGGUUUUCGGAUCGUAAAACUCUGUUGUUAGGGAAGAACAAGUGCCAUAGUAACUGAUGGCACCUUGACGGUACCUAACCAGAAAGCCACGGCUAACUACGUGCCAGCAGCCGCGGUAAUACGUAGGUGGCAAGCGUUGUCCGGAAUUAUUGGGCGUAAAGCGCUCGCAGGCGGUUCUUUAAGUCUGAUGUGAAAUCUUACGGCUCAACCGUAAACGUGCAUUGGAAAACUGGGGGAAACUUGAGUGCAGAAGAGGAGAGUGGAAAUUUCCACGUGUAGCGGGUUGAAAUUGCGUAGAGAUGUGGAGGGAACCACCCAGUUGGCGAAGGCGACUUCUUCUGGUCUGUAACUGACGCUGAAGAGCGAAGCGUGGGGGGAGCGAACAGGAUUAGAUACCCUUGGUAGUUCCACCGCCGGUAACGAAUGAGUGCUUAGUUGCUAAGGGGGGUUCCGCCCCCUUAAUGCUGGAAGUAACCGCAAUUAGCCACUUCGGCCUGGGAGAUUACGGCCGCAAGCCUGCAACUCAAGAUUUGGACGGGGGUCCUG
rnacentral:rRNA from 1 species